GUUUCAGCUUGUCAACCUAAUGUCACACCUUCACCUUCAGACAAGAAGAGAACACCGUCUAUUCAGAAUAUUGAAGCCCAACACACCAGUACAGACAGUGAAGAGAUGAACAUCUCAAUGACAAACAGUUCUUCAGUAGCUCCUCUCUAUGCACAAAUCAUAUCCAUCUACACUGCCUCCUAUACAAUCAACCUCAUCCUGGGUCUCACUACCAAUGUCUACGUCCUGUGGCUGAUACCGACUGGAGUGGGAGGGACAAUGGCCUCAGACUUCUUCUCUCUCAACCUGGCCGUGCUGGAUGUCCUCUACUGCCUGUUUUCUGUCUUUGUCCUUGUCAACAUGCACAUACCCACAACUGCACUUGCAUAUCUUGGAGCAUUUUCUUAUGGUUUCUUUAACACCGGUCGUCCCCUGUUCCAGUGCUCUAUCUGUGUCUAAUCUCUUCAACAUAUUAAUGCUUUAAAUAUGUAGUAUAUGUUAUUAUAUUUAGGUUCUGUG
rnacentral:lncRNA from 13 species